CCCCCUCUAUAAAACUCUCGAAUUUUUUUAACUAACUCAUUUCUAAUAGGUGAACCUGCGGAAGGAUCAUU
rnacentral:rRNA from 1 species